UUAUAAGAGACAGCAGUCGCCACGGGAAUACGUAGGUGGCAAGCGUUGUCCGGAAUUAUUGGACGUAAAGGGCUCGCAGGCGGUUUCUUAAGUCUGAUGUGAAAGCCCCCGGCUCAACCGGGGAGGGUCAUUGGAAACUGGGAAACUUGAGUGCAGAAGAGGAGAGUGGAAUUCCACGUGUAGCGGCGAAAUGCGUAGAGAUGUGGAGGAACACCAGUGGCGAAGGCGACUCUCUGGUCUGUAACUGACGCUGAGGAGCGAAAGCGUGGGGAGCGAACAGGAUUAGAUACCCGCGUAGUCCCUGUCUCUUAUAC
rnacentral:rRNA from 1 species